GAUGAACGCUAGCUACAGGCUUAACACAUGCAAGUCGAGGGACCGGCGCACGGGUGAGUAACACGUAUCCAACCUGCCCUUUACUCGGGGAUAGCCUUUCGAAAGAAAGAUUAAUACCCGAUAUAAAGGAUGGGGAUGCGUUCCAUUAGGUUGUUGGUGAGGUAACGGCUCACCAAGCCUUCGAUGGAUAGGGGUUCUGAGAGGAAGGUCCCCCACAUUGGAACUGAGACACGGUCCAAACUCCUACGGGAGGCAGCAGUGAGGAAUAUUGGUCAAUGGGCGCUAGCCUGAACCAGCCAAGUAGCGUGAAGGAUGAAGGCUUAUGGGUCGUAAAGCACUUUCAGCGGGGAGGCGUUACCCGCAGAAGAAGCACCGGCUAACUCCGUGCCAGCAGCCGCGGUAAUAC
rnacentral:rRNA from 1 species